AGCGAACGCUGGCGGCAGGCCUAACACAUGCAAGUCGAACGAAGUCUUCGGACUUAGUGGCGGACGGGUGAGUAACACGUGGGAACGUACCUUUUGGUUCGGAACAACUCAGGGAAACUUGAGCUAAUACCGGAUGAGCCCUUAGGGGGAAAGAUUUAUCGCCGAAAGAGCGGCCCGCGUUAGAUUAGCUAGUUGGUGAGGUAAAGGCUCACCAAGGCUACGAUCUAUAGCUGGCCUGAGAGGAUGAUCAGCCACACUGGGACUGAGACACGGCCCAGAAACCUACGGGAGGCAGCAGUGGGGAAUCUUGCGCAAUGGGCGAAAGCCUGACGCAGCCAUGCCGGGUGAAUGAUGAAGGUCUUAGGAUUGUAAAAUUCUUUUACCAGGGACGAUAAUGACGGUACCUGGAGAAAAAGCCCCGGCUAACUUCGUGCCAGCAGCCGCCGUAACAC
rnacentral:rRNA from 1 species